CCCUUAGAUGUCCGGGGCCGCACGCGCGCUACACUGAAGGAAUCAGCGUGGCUUUCUCCCUGACCCGAAAGGGUUGGGAAACCCGUUGAAUCUCCUUCGUGAUAGGGAUUGGGGCUUGAAAUUGUUCCCCAUGAACGAGGAAUUCCCAGUAAGCGCGAGUCAUAAGCUCGCGUUGAUUACGUCCCUGCCCUUUGUACACACCGCCCGUCGCUACUACCGAUUGAGUGGCCCGGUGAGGCUUUGGGAUCUGAGCGGAAAGAGCGUUUCGCUGUUUCUGCUCGGAAAACUCAGUCGAACCUUAUCAUUUAGAGGAAGGAGAAGUCGUAACA
rnacentral:rRNA from 1 species